rnacentral:rRNA from 1 species
AUGAAUGCUGGCGGCGUGCUUAACACAUGCAAGUCGAGCGGUAACAGGUCUCUCACUAUUUUCUUCUUCGGAAAACGCAAAGGAAGGAGGAAAGAGUGAGAGAUGCUGACGAGCGGCGAACGGCUGAGUAACGCGUGGGAACAUACCCCAAAGUGAGGGACAACUGCCCGAAAGGGCAGCUAAUACCGCAUAUGGUCUUCGGAUUAAAGGAUUUAUCCGCUUUGGGAAUGGCCUGCGUACGAUUAGAUAGUUGGUGAGGUAAAGGCUCACCAAGUCAACGAUCGUUAACUGGUUUGAGAGGAUGAUCAGUCAGACUGGAACUGAGACACGGUCCAGACUCCUACGGGAGGCAGCAGUGGGGAAUUUUGCGCAAUGGGGGAAACCCUGACGCAGCGACGCCGCGUGGAGGAUGACGGCCUUCGGGUUGUAAACUCCUGUCAGAAGGGACGAAAUCCCGCAAGGGACUGACGGUACCUUCAGAGGAAGCCCCGGCUAACUACGUG